GGUGUGAAUCUCUUUCUCUUCUCCAGGUCUGUGAUGUGAGUUGAGAUGUCCUAUCUGCAAGUUCCCCCCAGGCUUAAUCCAAGUGGGAUGGAAAGAGCCAGGUCUGCCAUGAGCUUUUAGAUUUCAAGCUGUGGUGAACUCACACUGGAUGAAGAUCCAUGUUUGAGGAGAGAAGCAGAGGAUGCUUGAUUGCAGCAAGAAUAGAUUUCCUCUGCUUGCGUUCCUGGCUAUUUUUCUCUCCCCUGAUGGUUACAGGUAGAUGCGCAGUACCAAACACAUGGGACCUGAGUUCUGGCCUGGGUUCGCAGCAGUGGGAACCAUGAUGUCAUUACGAGUUGGAAACCUUGUGCAGUGCUCGGCAUGGAACGGGUGGGGGGACUGAUGGGUUAGUCAGCAUGGAGCUGAGGCAGCGACAGAUUUACUGCUCCUUACACUUCCAUACGACUGAGGGAGAGGAAGCCUUGCCCAGCAUGAAGGUAUCCAUCGGGGGUUACAAGGUCAGCAUUCAAGAUGUUGGGUUACGUUCCAGGCCAAAAGCGAAAUGAUGAGUGACAUGGCCCACUGUCAUCGGAAUAUAUCAUCGUGAUCUUGUGCUAUUUCUGAUUGGUGCAGAAGCAGGAAAUUCCAGCAGUCUCCCAAGCAAGCUCUCUCCUCUGGGAUUCUGUCUGUGCUGGCAUCCCUGUCAGAGAUGACUUUUCACACCAUCAAGGCCACUUUCUCAGCUUAUUGACAGCUUUAUGAGCGCUGUUGGAAGAGCCCCAGCUUCGUUCCUCGGCUCCGGCUUUCCGUCGGGCGAGAGGGCUGGGAGGUCCCUGAGUGAUUGCACCUGGACGUGUGUUACCUGCUGCUUCUCCACCCUUGAGAUGUAUGAUCACAUCAGGACAACUGGUCAGGAUGUGCUACAGAGCAGCAUUUUUAGUCUCCUUGACUUAGCAGAAAAUGGCAUCCUAGCCCCAAAGCGUUGUGGUUGUCUGGAUACACGUUCACACGUUGCAAGGCUUCUACAGAAAAUCAGAGGAUCUCCUUUAAAGUCGUACCUUGGCCUGAACCACGAGCCUUGGAUGUAAAGCUCCAUGUGGAGCUCUAUCCAAACUGUGGAGUGUACGUGGAUUUCCAGAAAGCUUUUGUCAAGUUUUCACAUCAAAGGCUCUGGCUGUAAGUUACGGCAGGAGGUGAAGGCGGUCCUCGUAGCUGGCUGAGGGGUAGGAAUCACAGCAUCAUAGCAUGGAAUACAUGUGACAGAUGGCUGCGGCUGGGAUGGAGCCGUUCCUUUCCCUGCUCAGAAGAGGGCAAUCAGCAAAACCUCAGGGCAGCUCCAAGGGACAUGAGAGUCUUGCUUUACACACGCACAGAGCAGCCCUGGAAGGAGUGAAAUGAAGAACUGUCAAGGAAAGUUGGAGGAGUUGUGCUGUCCCAAGCGUGCAGGCACGAAGACCAAAGCCUUUGUGCUCCUUGGACACCCACAAGCACAACUGCUCUCUGUCACAGUCAGUUCUGGGAUUGCUGCUCCCUCCCAUUUUUCCCAACCUGGAUUCUGGUCUGACCAGGAACUGGAGGUCUCGUUUUGGUUAUUGGUUGCUGGAUGGCCAAGUGUCCUGCAGUGAGCUGCUUGCUGCAGGAUGGUCCUCGCUGCCCAACGUGCAGGUGCUUGUAAAACCACAGGGUGUGAGCGUGGUAUUAGCAAGCCUUUGUGUCAUCUCCAGGGGAGAGCUGAGUCCCAUUGAAGGCAGAGGACAGACGUCAUUCAGAGUUCGCUUCCUCUGCAUCAGAGAUGGCAAAAAGUAAUAUAAACACAGGAGAAGGAGAAGAAAGAAGAAAUAGAGACGUUGGAAGCAAUGUGCAGGAUUUCCUGACGGGAUAUUUCAGGAGCCCUGUCACUGAGCCCUAGGGCCUGCAGCAGGAUGGAGGGCUGAGGAUGGAUUUGUUUAAAAGGCAGAAGCCCUGCAGCCAAGACACCCAAACCCUGCUCAUUGCCUUGGCCUUGCUGCAGCAGGUAGCCAAGCAGCUGGCUGUGUGAGUGUGCGGCGCGUGGCUCAGCACAACCUGUGCUCCAGAGGACGUCCAGGAGAGAUUAGCAGUACACAGAAAAUUUGAAACAGCUGGAAACGAAAAACGAAGGAUUCCUUUGUGUGCAAAUCUCCAUCCUGAGUCUCAGCAAGGAGGGAAACCUGCGCUGUGCUGGUGGUGGAUGUGAUGGAGAUACAGUGAGCCCGACCCGCUGCUGGGUGCCCCUUGGAGCCACGUGUCCCUUCCUUGCUUUUUUGAGGGAAACAGCCAGAUUUUGACAUGCCAGCUUCCUCAGAAGAAGAAUAGUUGGUCUGUUGCCUGCACGUGUUGGAUGUUAAUACGCAGAUGAUUGGUCUUGAAAAUAUUUCAAGUUUCAGUGUGGGCUCUCAUUCAUCCAUGCAAGAGGAGACCUGUGGCUCCGGGGUAAGAUUAAUCCAUCUCUCUGGAUCCCAGUGCCCUAUGGGGUGGAAGAGGGAGGAACUGUUGUGCAGAGGAUGAAGCUCCUCUCCAUGGGAGUCCGUUGGGUUUGAGUCCAAAUGGCUGGACAUUCACAGACCCUGUGCCGUGUCCCUGCCGUGUGCUCCCUGCGCACUGCUUGGGUCUCAUUCCAGAUGUACAUAAAUGACAUUUAACAUUAUUAGCGCCAGGAUGAGGGGAAAUGGCUUUAAACUGGAAGAGCAUCAAUUUAGACUAGAUAUUAGGAAGAAAUUCUUAUUGUGGGGGUGCUGAGACUCUGGAACAGCUUGCCCAGAGAGGUCACGGAUGCCACCAGGCUGGAAGCACUCAAGGCCAGGCUGGAUGGGGCUGUGAGCAACCUGGUCUAGAGGGAGGUGUCCCUACCUAUAGCAGGGGGUUGGAACUAGAUGAUCUUAAAGGUCCCUUCCAACCCAAACCAUUCUAUGAUUAUUAGAUUAAUUUGGACAAAACCCCCACAUAUUAGGUCUGCCUUACAGGACCCAGUUGUCCAAUAACUUUCACUCCCAAACUGUCCACUUUGCAUCAGAUUCUUAGAAAAUCCACACUGUAAGUUGGGAUUGUGCGCUGGGGCUUCUGUGUGUGCUUUUGUUUUCCAUGCAGGAGGAAAUCUGUAGCUAAUGGGAGUUUCCAUUUAUGAGGAGAUUCUACAGCUCUUCCAGCAUUCCCCUGCACUGGUCCCAGGAGCUGAAUUUAUGACAAGAAGUUUCAAAGCGAGCUGUAUAAGGAAGAAGCAAGUCUGAGAUCCUGCUCUGCCCAUGCCAGGAGGUCCCAGGUUCCUUCCAAGCUUAUGCCCAGGAUUUGGUUUCAGCAGUAAUCUAAGGGAAGUGGUUGGCUCUCUCCUGCCUGUGCCUGACCCCUGUCCAACAGCACGAAGGAGAAUGAAGAGGAUGGACUUUGCUGGAGGCAGGAACCUCUCCAAGGUGUGGAUCUGCUGCAUGUGCCCAUCUGGAAUUUUUAACGCCGUGAGGCUCAAGGGACGUCUUGACUGUUCCUCAUUCCAACUCUUGCUGGAUUACCUGUCCAAGGAGUGGAGCAGCCUGGAGGAGCCUCUUUGUUAUUCCCUCAUCCAUUUGUUUGGAGAUGCAGACAUAGAGCCGGAAGCACUGAAGGCUUUAUCUACCUGACCUUCUGAACAGCAGGCUAUGAAAUGUUGUCCAUUAACCUCACAGCUGAGCCCACUAACUCACUUCUGGCUGAAACGUCUUUGCCACUCCGUCUGGGCAGAGCAUGCAGCUCCAUAAUUGCAGCUGCUGCUGAGAUAACAAAGUCUGCUUUGGGACCAGCAGUGCAGCCCCUGGGAAGCACUGAUCCCCCUCUGUGUCAGGAUGUGCUGUCUGCAGGGCAGCUGAGUGAGUCAAGGGCUGGAUUUGCCUUGCUCUGAACUGAACAAAUACAGCAAGGCACAGCCUGCUCCAAGCUUCUUUAGGUCCAGCAAGAGACAGCAAAAUUCACUGGUUUCACUUUGAGGUGUGAUGGAAGACAGAUCCUAUCAGAAACUUCUCUGUGUCAUCUGGUUGGCCAAGACACCUACAGAGUCUGAGUCUUAACACGGGUCUUCAGAGCCAGGUGCUCCCAUAGCACAGAUGUCCCAGCUCACCUGCCACCAGCUGCCCUCCUGUGCCCCCUUCCCAUCCGUUCCUAAGACUGCCGUGGCUGAGUGCUCUGUGUUUGCUUUGAAGUGCCCCAUGCAUCUGCAGGCUCUGCUCCUCACUCCUUCCUGAUGCCCUCCGCGGUGACACCUGUCAGGCCCUCGCUGCUCUGAGGGUCCAUUUGUUUCCUCUUAUCACAGCCUAAUGAUUUGGCCAAGGAAAAUUUCUGCCCAUCCUGGGGACAGUGGCUGAGAGAUCGGGAGAACCUGGCCUCCAGGAUGGAGUUUGCAAUGUAAUAACCUCAUUCUGCUACAAAUGCUGAGGCUUCACGACUCAUCUGUCUGCCAGGCAGAGCAUUUCCUGACCUUUUUAAGAAAGCUGGGGAUGGAAAAGCAGCCGGACUGGAGGGUGUCCCGUCUGCCUGGAACCAAAACAGCAUCGCUGAGAGUUCUGGAGGGGAGGAAACUUGCAGCUCAGAGCCAGCAGUGAGGGCUGAGAGCUUGCAUGACCUCCCCUUCCUCCAGAGAGGGAAGAUUGGACUGGCUGCUAUUAUAUUUGAGCAUGGAGACAUGGAGCCCCUGUUUCAGAGCCGGGAGCUGCUCGCGGUGCUGCUCCAUCACACCCGUGAACAUCAUGUCUGUGCCAUGUCCUACACUGGAGCACCAAGCUCCAGCACAUGCAGGGUUCCACUGCGUUGGUGGUGAAGUGUCAUGGCUGAAUUGUGGCUGCUGUAGGCCGUUGGCCUCAAAGAGCUGAAGGGAAGACGGGGAGGAGAUGGACGUUGGCAGACCACGGAAAGGUUGCUGUCAAUCCAGUAAUGUUGCUUGUCUCAUGCACCCAUGGCAGCAUUUCCAGGGCUUUCCAGGACUUCAGCCAUUCUCAUGGGUCUUCUCUGGAUGUUCCUCCAGUGUUUCAGCCUACAUCUCAAGGUAUGGAGCUGCCAAGGUCACUGCAGAUGGGAUCCAACCAAAAUUUUGGGUGUUUGUGCAGCCAGCCACUCCAGCUGGGGACUUCCAUGUAAAACCAAGGGAAGAAGGAUCAUGCCUUUGGAUGCUUGCAAAAAAACUUCUGUUGUGUGUUUGGAAGGACAAAAGGGGCUCUAUGUGUGUCACCAGAUGAGUACACAUCUGGAGUGAUAUUAUUCAACUUCAUUUGAUAUCUUCAAAUACUGAAGACACCUACAGAGAUGCAUGAGCAGUCUCCUCUGGCUCUUUGGAGGCUGAACCUUCCAGCCUGAACCUCCCAUAAGGCUGCUGAUGGCACAGCAGGGCUUCAGAAGUUAACAGCACUUCGCUGCUUUGGAUUGAGUUGAUAUGGAUAAUAUGGACUUGAAAGAAUUCUGCACCUAACCCAGGCACAGAAAUGCCAAGUGCACGAAUCUUCAACAAGCCCUUAUGUGUAGACCUUCUGCCAAGAGGUAGCAGAAAAUUUGAUGUAAAAACAGAAAUACGCUUUGGUUGCCUUGGAACAUUAUAUCCUCCUGAGCUUGCUUACGUAUCGCUUUACAAAGAUCAUCUGUCCACCAAGCUACCAAUACCUCCCAAACUUGGCUGUGUUUCAGUGCUUGUGGGAAGCAGCAUAAAAAGAAGAGGAGAAUGAUUGAGUACCUCUGUUUCCAAUUGCCCAUGGUGCAAAGUGCCUAAAUCUAAGCCUGAAGAUGGAGCUACAUCUUCUGGAUACUGGAGUGCAGCCCACGGGCUGGGAGGGGAAGGCUGCAGCUUGGCUUUUGCUCCCUGACCACCAGCCAGCUCCUAUCUCGGGAUGGAUCCAGCAACAGUGUGGGAGCUCGCAUCCAAGAGCCCCAUUGCUCUGCCAGGGCCACACAGGUAGCAGCGAGCCUGAUGUGAAGUCAAGUGCAACAUCUGGGAGUCUUUUCUCCCCGCGUUUUUCCCUUUUAUUUUGGAGCAGCAGCUCUCAAAGGUACAUGCAGGGCUUGCCAAAGUGCUCCUCGCCCACAUGAACACCCCUACAUCUGCAAAAAUGCUGCCCAAAUCUAUCUAGGAAACCUGGAGCAGAGCUCUAUUCUGGAGCACCGUGCUUGCUGGGGGGGAGUUGUGGCACAGAGAGCGCCCAAUUUUGUUGUCUUUCGGGUUAUUCAGGGAGAAAAGCGCAGAAUCCCUUCUUUGUGCAUUCAGAGGAUGAGGGUUUGAUGCUAUGGGUUUGAUACUAUGGGCUCACACAAGGGUUGGCUUCAGCUCUGGUUGCAUUCUGCUCCAGAUCUGAUGGGUUUAGGAGGGGCCACCAAUCAUCCCAAGUGUACUCCGUGAAGGAUGCUGGUGACCAGUUUGUUCCUUUUUCAUCUCCUGAGGCAUUUGUUAUCCACCCUGCAAAUGGUGUGCUGUCAUGGGACCCUACCAAUAACCACCAACCCAGAGCAGCACAAAACAGAAUUCCCUGUUGCCCCCAGCAAUCUGUGGUCCUGAGAGCCGUCCAGAUGAGAGAAUAUCCAAAGUAAAAAGAAAUUAUUUCAGGAACUAAUUAUAAACAGAGAAGGAGGCCAGUGCCAGUGGUGCAGGUGGGGUCUCCAUCCCCUCGGAGAAAGACAAGAAAGGAACAAGAAAAGCCUACAGGAAAAUGUUAUUUGAACACCAACAGAAGAAUGCGAAUGCUGACAUCUCCUUGGUGAGAGCUGCUCUGGACUUUUCCCAAGGAACUCCACUGCAAAGGAGAAAGUGAUGACUUUCCCACUCUGCAGAGGAGGCACUCAGCCUGCAGACCUUACAGCUCGGGAUGUUUUCGACAGAGUAUUCCUUUGUUGUUGUUGUUGUUAAGAAAAACAAACGACUGGUUCAACGUAAUGAAACUUGAAGCAGGAGAAGAGCAGCCUGGACAAAUUGCUCAACCGAGUGUUUUGGUUUUGUUUUAUUUUCUGAAAGGAUGUUCCAAGAUUGGCCAAGAUUCUGUUUGGAAAUAGAAGCAUCCCGCUUUCCAGCCCGUAAUACUCCUCGCUUGGAAUCAUGAGCCGAGUACCGCAUGAAUGGGGCUUCUUUGCUGAAGGUUUGAGAGAAUUGAAACCAAAUGUUUAAAAGCUAUCUAUCCAGAAUUCUUGGCUCGACUGAACUCCAACGACUGUUGGUUUUUUGGUUUUUUUUUUUGAAACUAUAAACAAUAUUGAGAUUCUCGCUGUUUAUCCCCAUAUGCCUUAAGAAUUGUUUGAAAUUCUUUAGACAUCUUUUCAGGAACUCAAAACCUGUUUCCCAUGUAUGUUUGUGCUGGCAGCUGGUAUCCAAAGGACAGCUCAGCUCCUCCGAAAGCAGGAGCACGUGGCAGAUUUCCCUUUAGCUGAGCAAUUCAGAAUGGGGCAGGAUGAGCCCUUUUCCAAUGGCCUUAAGUUGUGCCAGGGGAGGUUCAGGCUGGAUGGUAGGAAACAUUUAUCCUGUGAAGGAGUGGUGAUGCAGUGGCACAGCUGCCCAGGGAGGUGGGGGAGUCACUGUCCCUGAAGGUAUUCAGGAGCCAUAGAGAUGUGGCACUGGGGUCGUGGUCAGUGGGCACAGUGUGGGUGGGCUGGGGUUGGACUUGGGGAUCUGCAGGGUCUUUUCCAUUCUUAAUGACUCUGUGAUUCUAUGUUUCUAUGAACAAGCAGCCCCGCCAGCAGAUCAUACGUGUGGCCUUACAGAUAAUUCCUUUAUUUAACCUUGAAUCUUGUCAGUGUAUGAAGUGGAGGAGGUGGGCCUCAGGCCAGUGCUGGUUUUUAGUUCCCAAGGUGGGGGAGCCCGUCCCCAUGGUAGGGAGCCAAUCCCCAUUGAGGUGGCAGCUGGUGUAUCUGAAACUGGGGGUCACAGGUCUGGGACAGCCUUAAAAGGCAGACACUGCCUGUCCUGGGUGCCAUCAGCCACCAGUGCCCUGCAGCAUUCACUGUAGGCUCCAAGAGCAUCAUAAGCCUGUGGCUGCCUUCAUGAUCUCUGCGCACUUAACAAAAGGAGGUGAAAUCCAGCACGGUGAAAGCACAAAGGCUGUGCACUCGGAGCCAGGGUCCCAGGACCCCUGAGAGCCAGGCAUUAGCUCAGUGGCUGUUCUGCUGGGUCGAUGCGAUGCAUUCAGCCCUACUUGUGCUGUUCAAAUUGUCCUUCUCAGGAGAAUUGCUUUGCUCUGUUGCCAUCUCUUCUGUGCCCAACAGCAGGGGGUUUCUGCAGCAAGCCAUAUAGAAAAUGUAUUGAUUCUGUUCCAUAAGCCCCGUACAUGGGAGGUAAGUGCUCCCCAGCCAAUACCUUUCAGUCAUUUCUUUUAGAUGUUGCUCACAUGCCCUAAAUCACAGCUGUUGAUGAAAGAACAAAAGAAUGGAGCAGAGGGAACUGUGGCCAAAUGGGUCUAAUCCUGCUCAAGGCCAUCGCUGCUGCCCAGCACUGAUGGAGCAGAGCAUGGAGGCAGGUGACGGGAUGUCAGUGAUAAAGGGCCCUCCAUUGCCAGGGCUGGCCUGGUGGCAGGUUUUGAACAGCGAGGAAGUUUAGCAAGGUGGCUGAGAGCUGCUUCUAAGGUUCCUGCAUGAACAGCUUCAGGUAAUGCUCAGACCAACAGCUUCGGCCUCCAGAAAUUACGCAGUUGUCUUAGGAGCCAUGAGAUGGUUAUGACCAUAAUUACUAUUUAACAACGCUGAGUCUUUUCUGAGAGCCCAGCUUGGCUUCCACACCUCUGCUGUGUCCACGGGGCACUACUCAUCAGUGCUGUUGAAGAUUUUGGGGCUCUAUGCGAUGUUGGCUUCGCAGUAGCAUUGCACCUGGAUGGAUGCCACAUCCCAAGGCAUUCCCACCGUGUGACCCUGGGCUCUGGCACUGCAUCAGCUCUGAUUUAUUGCGAGCUUUCCCCACGGAGUGCAGAGCUGCCGCCCCUGUGCAGGCUGUGGACAAGCAUUAAGAUGAAGGAGGUCUGAUUUUUUUUUUUCCCCAGGAACGUUGCUGGCCAAUGUCUUGGUAAUAAAUGCUGUGGAUUGAGGAAUGCAGUCUUGUUAUUGCCUGGCUGAGGGGAAUUCAUUCUACACAUUGGCUUUCCCGGAGUUUUCCACCCGGGCGUCGCUGACUCCUCACCACGCACAGACAUUUCUGUAUUUCAGCAGAAUUCCUCCCUUCAAAUCUGGAUAGUCCACGCUGGGUGGAGCGCAAAACCCACAUUGUUAACUCCGGAUAGCAGUAAUUAAAAGAAAAUAAAAUCAAAGGUGCUCAGCGAAGAAAUGGAACAUUUUUCCAUGGAAGCCAAAAGAUUAUAUUAAACUUCGGUGGUUUAAUAAAAUAUUAUGAAGUUUGGGAGCAUAUUUUCCCUGGGACUUACUCUGUUUAUACAUCUAAAAAAGUAAAUAGAAUAUCGCUUUACUUGACCACACAGAGAACCUGAUCUACGGGGGCUGCCUAUGUUUCUUGGUGCGUCGCUCCCACCUCGGGUUUCACACAGUGCCGGGUUUUGGGAAAGAAGGAAUUCCGUGAAUGGUGGCGAAGGGACGUGGCAGGGUUUGCUGAAGGGGGAACAGAGGGGCGAAAUGCAAAGACACGGCUUGCCAAGGUGUUCUGCUGCCUGAAGGCUGUAGUAAGACAUCAAGCAUCGCUAAGUGGAAGAUAGGAGGCUAUGGAAGUGAUGCCAAGAAGACCAAGAGCCAAAGUGGGGAUCUCCAACCAAGCAGUGCCAGCUGAAGUGGUUUUGUAGACUGACUCUGACAUGAGUGGGUUAUUCUGCUUUUGCCUUUUUCAGAGCUCCCCGCUCCCUCCAGGCUGCUGCCGCCAGCAAAAAGGGAGCACAGCCUCUCAGUACCCGUAAACUUUAUUAAAUGUGUGCUUUUUCAUUCUUAAA